UAUAAUAUUCCGAAGUGCAUCGAACAAUUUUGAUUUUCAUUCAGAUGUUUAUUUAUUUGUUUUAUUAUUCUAGUAAUUAAGGUAGGAGAGCUCAGAAAGGGACACAAUCUCGUGGCCACUGCUGUGCAGUGCAGCGACUCUCAUCCUUCAGGGAUUGACUCCGCAGCGGAUGGCUGCUGUUGCUUUGAACUCAAUUAAAUUCUUUCUCGAAGCUCAUCUCUUGCACGAUGACUCAAUCUCAAGAUCCGAUUAUCCAAAAUAAAAAGGUUCGACUCACUUACCCUAAUUUUGGCGCUCAUUUAUAUGAAUUGUGAUCGUUUAAUUACUGAUUUAGUUGUUUAAUAGUGAGGUCUUUAAUUGUUUUGAACUGGCCUGCUGAUUGACCUUGUAUGCGGUGUUUAUAUUUUUAGUCCAUAAAAUUAGUUACUAACUUACUUACUUUUGAGCUUAUUGAGUGUUUGCCUACGGAUUGCAAUCAUAGGAUUCAAAUAUUCAGUGUACAUCUAUUCGAUUAGAACUACAAGACCAAUGUCUCCUUCAGUCGAAAAUCAGGCUCAGGCUCCCACAAUUGACUUUAUUACAAGAAACAAAAUUGAUCUCUUAUGGGUGUCAAUCUAUAUUAAGAAAGGCUCAACUGAUCACUAAUUCUUAAUUUUUAGGAAACCUGAUGCUAAGAAGUGUCCUACACCAGUAAACUCAAUAUAAUAUACUUGAUCUGUAAAGAGAUGAGUAGGUACCUUAACACUUCAAAAAUUUAUAUAACCGUGUAAAAUUUUCAAAAAUCAUACUCUCCACCAUAAACAACCAUAAAGGCAUGAAAACUUUUUUUUUAUUAUUGCAUCUCAUAUGAAUACGAAUACUCCUAAUGAUGUUAAGACAUUCGAUUUUUAAAUCUAGUACUUGGCUACUCCUCAAUGUUUGAAAAUUCAGUUAUUACCCAAUAGUCGAACUUAGCGAAGCCUAUAUUCAAUUAUUAGGACAAAAUUUACACAUGCAUUCAUUUAUCGUUAAGGAAAAAUAAAAUUUGUGUACUUAAAACAUUGACUAGAACAAAUACUAAUUUGUAAUCUUUAUAAGCUUGUCUACUAGAAAAAAAGAACAUCGAGUAGACACUUUACAACAUCAACUCCCCAUAUGGUUUGUGCGAUAAGAAGAGCGAAAUGAAACAGUUCAAAAAAUAUAACAAUUACAAUGCUAAUAUAAUAGAAAAGGACCUAAAGUAUAGAUUGGAACUCCAAUCAUAUAUGUUCUGGGUAAAAUGGGGUGAAGCUCUUGGGUGCUUAUAAUUGUUAAAUAUCUUGCAGUUUAGACUCUAGCAUCUCAUAGAGUAGUAGCGUUCAGUGCUCCUACGAUAUGAGUUCUAUUUUACGGCUAAUCUACAACAUCCAUUUGUUUGGUCCAUGAAGGAGAUAGGUUAAACCUGAACUGUUUUUCCAUCUAUGGUUAAUAAAACACACACAUCAAAAACUGAACACAAUUGUUUCAGUAACAUUGGUCUUUGAGUCUUUACCAUGGUCCAGCAUCUUAUAUCAGUAUGUUUAAUUUGAUGUUGUAUAGAUUCCUCAUUUCAUCUUUAUAUCAUUGUACUAUGGGCCCAUUCGGUUGUAAUUCAGUAAAAGUAGCUAGAAGCUACUUAUGGCUAUAAAUGUUAAUUUAUAGAUCCAAUAAAUAGCUGAACCAAAUUGCCCUUAUGCUGGAUAUUUAAUUCAAGGAUGAACUAUGGAAAGUGAACCUUAGGCUUAAAAAUAGACUAUUAGUGUUGCCCAUUUAUCCUAUUCUUGAGGGUUAUGUCAAUUUAUUAUAUGUGUUAUUUUUUAUCUGAAUUAGGUUUAGAUCUACUACGAAAUCAUGUAUAUCCGGUCAUAUAAAAAUUGUUCCAUAUAUAGGGAAGAUGACAAAUUGUAGGUCUUAAGUGCAUGUCCAAGUCACCUAAUAAUCUGAGAAAAAUAUAGAAUACUCUGCACCUCUGCAAGCCCCAAUAGAAUUCUCUGAAGCUCUGUGAACCUGCAGCUCAUUGCAUAACUGUAAGACAUUAACGUGUUAAGGAGGGUAAGAUUUACAAGCAAGUAAAGGUACUAUGUCAGGCAUAUCUGGAGAUAUUGUAAUGUGGAAUUGCAGUUCCUAGUCAUUGAACCCUGCUGCAUUGCUGCUUAUAGUUAUUCAAGGCUCCAGAUAAUCUAAAAAAUUAGGACAAGUGUUUAGAAUAAAUGGAGGGUAAUUUUGUACAUAAAAAUGAAGGAUGAUCACUUUUUUGUUCAUUUAGACCGGUCACUGUUCCUAAAGUGACAGUUUUGUAUCGCAUUUUUGUAUAUUUCUAUUGGCAUCAGAACUGGGAACAAUGAACGUGACUUGUUUUUAGUUGAUAAAGUGUAGAGGUGUCAUUGUAAUCUCCCGAACCUUCUCCAAUGUUUUUCCCACUUUAGAACCAUCCUAAUUACUGAAAGUUUAGCAGCCUAUAUCCUCUGGGCUUGAUUAUAUUAAAGUAAUGAUGCAGCAAUUUUUUACUAGUAAUUCAAACUCAAAUAAAGGAUAAAGAUUGGGAUUUUCAAUUAUAUAGGCUAAAGACUGGGAUUUACAAAUUUAAAUUACAGUCUUCAGAUAAGUUUCGAUAUAGGCCUAGACUUGAAGGCUCAUAAAAAGAAUCUAUUAUAUAUCUAGUUAAAGUGACUAAGACUACCAACUUCAGCUAUAAUACAAUUUAAGUUUACUAUAUGUAUACUAUGUUCAUAUCGAUAUAUUUAUAGUUCAUUGAGAAAAACUAGUGUCUUCUUAUUGAUUGAAAAGUUACAAGUCUGGAGCUGAGUAGAGUUACUGAACCAUUACAAGUAUAACAGUCGUUUUACAAUAGUGAAAGAGGUAUUGAACAAUAGUAAAACAGUAUUGAACAUAGUGGUCUUGUUGCUAACUAGGUUCCUGAUUGAUUUGGUGCAGGAGACUGUGCAUUAUUUUUUCUAAUAGUUGACGCCAUCUCCAGAAGUUUAUUUGCGAUCUCCUCAAUUGCUUCCGCUUCCGCAGGCCCAGUUCCACUUCCGACAUCCUUUGGUAAUUUCUCCAAUACCUCCUUGAAGUAAGUACUAAUGAAGGGAAUGUAGACGUUUAAUUGGUACCCAACCUUGCAAAUCUUUGAUACUCCGUGGACCAGAAAUUCGAAGCCAAAUGUGUCACCUGCCCUUCGAAUUAUUGGUAGAUAUUUUCUGAGGUAUUUUUUCAGUGCUUCCUUGACAUGAUUGGCUUCCUGUGCCUGGGCCUCGGAGGCAAGUCCUCCAUCUACAAGCACAUACUCAUCGUAUAUUUCAUGUAGAAGUGAGUUACUUGAUUCCACAAAUUCAUAAGAAAAAGGUCGAUGGGGGUCCUCAGAGGCAUCUUCUUCAUCAAUUAUCAUGUACUCUUCAUCAAUUUGUUUCAAAAAAGGUGCUGGAGAUUGGUGAGAUGGGCAAGAAUUGCUUCCCAGUACAGGGUUUGAGCAAUUAGUAAGAAGGAGAUUUUUGUCAGAAUGUGUUGGAGGCCGAAAACAACGUGAAGAGCUUGAUAGAGGGGGGUCUGUAGGAAUCUGUGGUGUAAGAACCAAUGCUUGUAGAGUCUGAUCUUGUUCUUUAAGAAAUAAAGGGGAGGUUGAAGAAGAUGGUGGGGUUCUGUGAGAAGAGGGAGAAGAUAGAGGGGUUCUUGAAAAUUCGCUUGAUGAUGGGGGUUUUGCGGGAAGCGUAGGUCCAGGGAGAGAGUGGUUAAACUGUCGAGCUUCUUGUUCUUGAAGAAUUGAUGAGGAUGGUGGGUCUGAGAUCACCAUUGAAAGUAAAAGAAUAGAGAGAAAGGAUUGACAAGUUGAGAAUGCUGUAGCUUUGGAAUUUGCCAUUGCCAUGAAGGUGAACUUCUAAGUAAUACAAUGUGUGAGUUCGUUUCAAGAUGAAGAUGAAGAUGAGAAAUAGAAGAAGCUGAAGAUGAACCAGGUGCAAUAAGCAGCAGCAAGCAGGUGUCUGUUAUAUAACAAACUCGACUGCCCGCGCGUGCUUAUAUAUUGGCGGGAUGGGCUGGAGAUAAUAUAACUAAAUAUUUGCAAUUUCUUUUUUUUUUUUUGAAGAGACCAUUAUGUUGCCUCCUGUUAAUUAAUGUAUUUAUUCUUCUUGUCAUUUAUAGAUAGAUUAAGUAAUAUUUCUAGUCAAGAAAAAUCUUAGUAUUGAAUCGAAGUUUCUUUUUUUUUAUCCAUGUAAAAUGUAUGUAUUUAAAAAUAUGAUAAUUUAACUAAAUAUCAUGUUCAUGAUAAUAAA
rnacentral:lncRNA from 1 species